UUUUAUAAUUUUUUUAUUUAAAAUUUUUUGAUUUAUAUAAAAUUAAUAUUAAAAAAAUUAUUUUGUUGGGGUGACAGAAAAAUAAAUAAAACUUUUUUUAUAAUUAAACAUAUAUAAGUGAGUAUUUGAUCCAAUAAUAUUGAUUAUAAGAAAAA
rnacentral:rRNA from 1 species